rnacentral:rRNA from 1 species
UAGUCUCGCACAGAUGCAUAUCAAUAAGCGGAGGAAAAGAAACUAACAAGGAUUCCCUCAGUAACGGCGAGUGAAGCGGGAAGAGCUCAAAUUUGAAAUCUUCAAGGUUUUACCUUGACGAAUUGUAGUUUAAAGAAGUGUUUUCUGUUGAAGUUUUGGUAAAAGUUCUUUGGAAUAGGACAUCAUAGAGGGUGAGAAUCCCGUAUUUGACCAUUAUUUUCAGCUGUGUGAUACACUUUCAAAGAGUCGGAUUGUUUGGGAAUGCAGUCCAAAAUGGGUGGUAAAUUUCAUCUAAAGCUAAAUAUUGGCGAGAGACCGAUAGCGAACAAGUACCGUGAGGGAAAGAUGAAAAGAACUUUGAAAAGAGAGUUAAACAGUACGUGAAAUUGUCAAAAGGGAAGCGUUUGACACCAGUGUUGUUUUCUCGAAAAUCAAUUAAAAAGAGUUAGAUUUUGUUGUGUAUUGACCUUAACAGCUUGCAUUUCAAUUUUCUUGCUUUUUUUAAUGCACUUUUCGUUUAACAAGUCAACAUCAGUUUCUUUUGUUGUAAAAAGGUCAUUGGAAGGUGGCUUUCUUUUCGGAGAAAGUGUUUAUAGCCUUUGACUCCUGCAAUCGGAGAGACUGAGGUCUGCAGCGUAGAUCCUUCGGGGUUAGAUACAUUUGUGCUAAGUUAUAGCUUUUUAUAGACAACUUGUUGACUAUGAUUAGUCUUGUAGCUUACUCGCUUAUGCUAUUUUACCUACGCUUAGGAUGUUGAAGAUGUAGCACAUCAU